GAUGAACGCUGGCGGCGUGCCUAAUACAUGCAAGUCGAACGAAGUCUUCGGACUUAGUGGCGAACGGGUGAGUAACACGUUGGUACCUACCCCGAAGUGGGGAAUAACUGGCCGAAAGGUCGGCGAAUACCGCAUAAUACCGCAAGGUUAAAGCAGUAAUGCGCUUCGGGAGGGGCCUGCGUCCCAUUAGCUAGUUGGUAGGGUAAUGGCCUACCAAGGCGACGAUGGGUAGCUGGAUCGAAAGGUUGACCAGCCACACUGGGACUGAGAUACGGCCCAGACUCCUACGGGAGGCAGCAGUAAGGAAUCUUCCGCAAUGGACGAAAGUCUGACGGAGCAACGCCGCGUGCAGGAUGACGGUCUUCGGAUUGUAAACUGCUUUUAUACGGGAAGAUUAUGACGGUACCGUAUGAAUAAGCACCGGCUAACUACGUGCCAGCCGCCGCAGUAA
rnacentral:rRNA from 1 species